rnacentral:tRNA from 1 species
CGCCUACCUGGUGGACGGCUCGCCGCUGCGCGCCCCGGUCGAGGGCGCGGUGGCCGCGGCCGGCACGCUGAUCGGGGCGGCGCGGGCGGC